GUCACUGAGGCACAAGAAAUGGAAGUGUUUGAAAAAAAAAACAAAGUUUCCGUCACCGGGAACUGGACUGAAGCCGCGUCGCCACACACCGGAGCAGAGGAAGAGAGUCCAACUUCGGCCAGUACCAUGUCUUAUCAUCCCCCCACAACCAGCAAGAAAAGGUGACAAAGAAGCUGCUGGUGCCACUUCUGAUACAGCUGCCUGGGUUACCAAUGUUGGUAUGUUGGCUUUCCAGGAUGGCGGGUGGAUUGAUGAGGCCGCAUCUUUGAGGUGGACCCGGAAGUGCCUGCUGUCUCAUUGAGGCAUAGCAGUCCCAGCUGGAGGAGAAGCACAUGAUGUUCAGCCUGACUGAUGCUAAGGUGAUCCAGAAGAUCUCCCGGGAGGAGUGGAGGCUCCACUGUUGGAGGAGGACACAUGGGGCAGAGGAGAUGGCCAUCAUCAUCCAGGACAUGCGUGUCUCUCAUAGCUUGUGAUUAAGUAUGUUGUGUAUUAUCACUUCAUGCAAACAUAAAAUUCACUUUUUCCUCAAGCCAGUGCCAAGCACUUCCAAGCUCAGAGCCAGAUAGAGCAGGACAAAUGGCGAGUUGUUUACCCUACCAGAUAUCGCAAGAGGCAGCGGUGGUAAAGAACACCUCCUGUCCCGGGAAGGAGAGUCUCCAGAGCUGUGUUCUUGAGCUGAACUUGGGCCCUGCAAACUGGGCCAGUGUUAGCCACCUGGUGGAGGCCAUUUGCAACCAGCUCUAUCGUCUUCACCCAGAGGCCACGUGGUCCAGAGGGACCAUGAGGACUUGGUGGUCCCUCAUCCUCAAGGACUACAUGGCCAUUAGAAAGGCAGUGCUGGCCGGCCCAGGGUUGAUGGCUCAGACCAACAUCCAGGUCUUUGAAUUGAAUUGAGGACUCAAUGGCAAGAGUUUGUCAUAAAGCACUGGGUGUGUACAACCGAGAUCCCUUUGUUAGAGAGCACGCUGCCACACCAGUAGGUUGCUGGAAACCAAUGUCCUUUGUUUGAUAUUAUUUAUUGUUUAUCUCUUUCAAAUUAUGUUUACCUUCAAUGAAUCUUAAUUUAUUAGUUUAUUUGACCUGAAAAUUGUUAGUAUGGCAUAUUGUUGUAAUUUAGAGCCAAUAUUUCAUUUUUUCUAAAGAAACAUUGAAAUACAGUUAAACACUGCAGAACAUACAAACAGUUGGUCACCUUUUUAUUUAUACAAGCAAUUUCACUGAUGGAUACACAAGUCAGUUCAUAUGAUAAAUAUUCAGUGAUCAUUUUGUGAGGUCACAUACACAAUCCAUUUUUCCCAGUACUGCAGGAAUCUAUCAGUCCGUAAAUUUAAUAAAAAAGUUAUUCAUCCCUUGAAUAUUGGUAACAAUAUAUAGCCAGUCAGUCUUUGUUGGAGGUUAGGCCUGUAACCAUCUUCCUGUUACAGCUUUCUUGCUGGAAGCUAAUAAUAUCUUUAAUAGGUAUUUAUCUUGGGCCAAUAGGUGAGCUGCAAUGUUGCCCAAAUAAACUGUAGUAAAAGAGCAGUCAAUGCCAUCACUAAAUAUAUAUUGUAUUGCUUGUGUUACUUCCUGCCAAUAUGACCGAAUGGCUAGGCAGCCCCAGAAUAAGUAGAAAUGAUCUGCCAUCUGUUCACCACAUUUCCUCCAGCAUAGACCUCUUUCCAUCACACCUGUCUGUACACUUUUUAGCUUGGGGGUAACAAAAUAUCUUAUUAAAUUCUUCCAACAGAACUCUCUCCAAAGGCCUGAACUUGUGGAAGAUGAUUAGAUAGAACACAUUCAACCAGUCCUCAUCUGAGAUGACAAGUCCACAUUCCCGCUCCCAUUUUAGUUAAAUUCAUAAUUCGUUCAAUGUUUCUUUGUAGAUUGAAUGCUUGAAUAGAGUUUUGAGAUACGUUUCCUGUUGUCCUUAUUUUUAUACAUGUAACUAAAUAUAUCAAUUAAUUUGGUAUCACAGUACUCAAUGGGUUUUAACUCUUAAAAUAUUCCCUAGUUGUAAGUACCUAAAAACACAUUUUUCCAAACCAUAAUAUGUCCAAGAAUUUUUGAAAGGAGUCCAGUCCUCCCUUUGAUGAGAUUGAGCAGUAGGAGGUCAAAAGCAACCAAUCUCUAAUGUCUGGACUCUUUCAAUCAGUGGUAAUUUAUAGUCCUUAAACCAAAUUUUGAGACGAACUUUGGUCCAUUGGUUUAAGCCAGGUCUAUUCAAUUGGCGGCCCUCUGGCCACAUGCGGCCCAGACGCAAUACCCGAGUGGCCCAGCUCGUGAUUCAGACAAAAAAAAAAGAAGAAAAAUAAAACACAGAGAAAAACACAUUUUGCCAGAAUAACUCGAAAUCCCUACAGUACUUCAGACAGUGAAAGCAACACUCCACGUAACCCACAAUGCAGCGCGUUGUUUUGUUUCGAAAGUUCGAAAGUUCCAAUCCUCACCUAUGGUCAUGAGCUUUGGGUAAUGCCCGAAAGAACGAGAUCGCGAAUACAAGCGGCCGAAAUGAGUUUCCUCCGCAGGGUGGCCGGGCCCAGCCUUAGAGACAGGGUGAGGAGCUCGGAGUAGAGCCGCUGCUCCUCCGUGUCGAGAGGAGCCAGUUGAGGUGGUUCGGGCAUCUGGUGAGGAUGCCUCCUGGACGCCUCCCCGGGGAAGUGUUUUGGGCAUGUCCCACCGGGAGGAGGCCUCGGGGCCGACCAAGGACACGCUGGAGGGAUUAUAUCUCUCGGCUGGCCUCGGAACGCCUCGGGAUUCUCCCGGAGGAGCUGGUGGAAGAGGCUGGGGAGAGGGCUGUCUGGACCUCUCUGCUGAGGCUGCUGCCCCCGCGACCCGGAUCCGGAUAAGCGGGAGACGACGAACGAAGUUACUUUUACAAAGUUACUGAUAUAAACCAUGUUAGCAUCUCAAGAAGUAUGUCUCUCUCAACCCUUAAACGAAGAGUUGACGAUGAAAACCGUCGUUUUAACCCUGCCUGGACAGACGAGUACUGUUUUAUUUUACCGUUAACUCCAAACGCCAAACCUAUGUGUUUACUCUGCCAUGACUGUGUUGCGGUACUUAAGGAGUACAAUGUCCAGAGACACCACCUGGAGAAACACCCGACUUUCCGGGCAAACUACCCCGAAGGAUCUCAGCAGAGAACUUUAAAAGUGCAAAGUUUAAUUGCAUCUUACAACCGGAGCAGUACUACUAUGGCGCGCACAUGUACAGCACAAGAAAGAGCCACAGCAGCCUCCCUUCGUGUUUCGUGGAUUUUGGCAAAGAAGAAAAGGCCAUUCACAGACUCUGAAACCGUGAAAGACUGCAUGCUUGCCGUUGUGGAUGAAGUGAUAAAUGACAACAAAAUUAAAACAAGUGUAACAUCUGCUAUUAAAAAUGUGCCCCUGUCAGACACUUCAAACAUUCGCAUGGUUGAAAUUCUUGCUACAGAUGUGUUUGAAACGCUGUUGAAAGAACUGAAGAAAGCUGAUGUCAUGUCCACUAAGUACUAUUAACUGUAGGAUACAUGUCAGCAUAAAGUGGGAUGACUAAUCAUAAUCACACAUGUGGUGAUUUAAAACAAUGUGCACUGUGGUGGACGUGUAGUAUUCAUUGUUGAUUGUUAAUUACUGUUAUGACAUGUAAUGGGUUUGUGCACUAAAAGCCAUUGUUCUUUUUUUUAAGUUAAAUGCACCUUCUGAUGGGCCUCAGUCAGAUAUGACCAGAAUAUUACUUUCAUUUCAUUUCAAAAAGGAGACAAAAGUUUGUGACAAAAAUAUUAUUUUUAUUCGUUUAAUAUUCAUUUGUGAAAAACAGAAUUUCUACUACUUCAGAUUCUGUUUAUUUAGAGAAGUUUAUAAUGCACUUUUUGAUGUUUCUGUGUCAGAUAAGUUUAUAGAUAACAAUGUUUUUUUUUUUAAUGAGUUACAUAAGACACAAAUGUUUAUUCUUAUAUUUCAGAAGUGAAAAAGUAUUGCUUCUACCUCAGUUCAAUUACAGUUCUUGAAUUGUAUUUUAUGCACUUUUUGAUGUGGCUGCGUUAUACAAAAAUUUUAAAGGGAAAUGAUGAAUAAACAUCACUUAUUUCAUUAUA